UUGUUUGUUUUGCACGUGCUGUUUGGCGCUACAUUGUGACGUCAUGUAAACAAUAUUUUAAACGUCUGUACAGCGUUAACGACUGAAUAAAAGAUAUUGGUGUUCGGAUUCAUUUUCUUAGUUAGACCAUUUUCUUUCAUUCUAGAUAGUUUUCACAACAAAAUUCGACAAAAAAUUGUUUUUAUUUAUCAGAUUUCAAACAAAAUGGCGCCUUCGAUUUUCAUUUUUUAUACACAGCUUCCGUUAUUCUGGUUCCUUGUCCAAUUAUGGUUCCCAUAGACGUGCGCGUGUGACCAGUCUACACAUCCGUUUUCAGUCAGAAUUCCUCAGUUUUUACCGUUAUCUUUAAAUUCGAAAGGUUGCGAUGUGUCCAAUUCGGUACUUUGGACGAAUGUUUUCAAAACCAUCACUUAGCAGGUACUCGCGUUACCGUAAAGCUCGCUUUGCGAGCAGGCCCUUCGGGCCAGCUCGUCGAGCUCGCUAUUAAAACACGUCAUCGAGAAAGGAGUGUUGCCCGAUGAACUUGGAGCUAGGAAAAGGAAGUCAGUUCUUUACUCAUUAACGUUACUUGCAAGAUACCUUUCAGAAUUCGAUCUUAAACGAGAAGUUGUAGAGAAAUAUGCUGAGGACCAAAGUACAAGUGAGUUAGAAUGGUCAAGUGUUCUAAGUGCACAUUUAUUGAAGAAACUUUCACCUGUAAAGGAUGCAACACUAAAUGAUGACGGGUACUCCAAAUUGAAAAACUGCCCCUGUAACUGUGGAACACAGAUAAAUUUUGGAGACACAAGUCUUGGUAAUGCUUGUGUAUGGCAUGGAAGUGUAGACAUAAUUUGUGAUGAUGUCAUAAUUGAUGUAGCAGAUUCCUUUCCGAACAACCCUGAUAUUAUCUCUAUUGAUG